AAUGGUCAUUAUAACGAAGUUCAAACGACAUAUACAUUAACUGAAGCUAAGCAGGGCUGAGCCUGGUCAGUACCUGGAUGGGAGACCUCCUGGGAAAACUAGGUUGCUGCUGGAA
rnacentral:rRNA from 1 species